UUGCUUCUAAUAAUUGUAUCUGUUUUAUUAAUCUAGCGUUUUCCAUGAGGAGUGAUUCUUUCUGGGCAUUUAGUUUCUUGAAAUUCUCCGUCAUUGAAAAACAAUGGUUGCAGAAAAUAAUCUUUCCAGUCUCUUUUUGCAAAUUAUACUGAGGUAUUUGAUCUGGAUUUUGUCUGAGUGAAGGAGAUAUAUAGUAGUUUGGUCCUAAAUAUCCUCUAGCAUGAUUGGUGGCUUCGGUAAAAUCAUUAAAACCUUUAAAAAUAGGGGCUGUAAAACCUUGUAUUGAAUCUAACACUUCUA
rnacentral:lncRNA from 1 species